GACAGAAACUAAAUAGCAGUUCUGAGCCACAUGUUAAAGACUUAAACACUUAUUUUUCGGUUGCAAGGAAAGCUAUUAAAUUGAACAGCGGCACUUUUUUGGCUGAAGUGUUUUGCAGAAUAGGAGAAUGUGCAGGAAAAUGAUACUUUAUCUGCUCUUUGCAAAGGAAGACACAAUGCCAGCUUGAGGAUUUGGGGGCCCUUUGGGUGAGGCACUCUCAAAGAGUCUCAGCAGGUCAUUCUCUCACCCUUUCUUUAUUCUUCUUGGGUUCUCCCUGUAAAGAAAGAGUGGGAUCAUGGCAUGAUGGGUUCUUUGCCUCUUUUGAGGCCCUGGCAAAUGCCAGGCCAUAAAACCUUCUGAAGCCUGCCCUUGAAGGAAACAACCUCAUAUUAAUAUAAACUGUGAGGAUGAGAUGCAAGGAUGCAGCAAUGAAAUACAACUGCAACAGGACAUCCACUAUCUGAUCUCCUGACAGGAAUGACAUUAGAGGAUAGCCAUUGACCAUCAGUCUUCUUCCAGAUCCAAUGGUGACAGCACGACAGCUGAGGUGAAAAGCUACAAUUAUGCCAGCCAGCCAGGUAUGAAAAAUGGAGAAGCGACAAUUGCUGUCUUUCUUCUGACAAUGCAGUUAUGGAAAGAGAGAAAAAGUGAGCAGAUUCUCCUGAAAGGAAGAUGCAGAGAAGAAGCAGGGGAGGAGACCGCACUGCUGGCAUGUUGUCUUCACUACAGUGGUACCUUGGGUUACAAACACUUCAGGUUACAGAUGCUUCAGGUAACAGACUCCGCUAACCCAGAAAUAUUACCUCAGGUUAAGAACUUUGCUUCAGAAUGAGAACAGA
rnacentral:lncRNA from 1 species